UGUGUUAAACCUCUUUAUACUAGUGCUCGUACUCGUGAUUCACUUUCUUCCUGAUAUAUCUUAACAUUGUAUAUUUCUAGUAUAGCAUGGCAGUAAGGAAGUAUUUAUAUUGCAUUUUGAUUUUUUUGGUUGGUUAAAUGAUGUAGUCCAGUUUUUCUUUCUAGGUCUAAGAUUUUAUUUCUGUUUUUUUUUUUUUUUUGAAAAGUCUUGGACCAAUUGUCUUCUGCAUUAUAUAGAGCCUAGUGGACUUGCAACAAAUCAAUCAAGCAAAGAAGAGGUUGAUUCCUGCUCGAUAUUUGUUGGCAAUGUUGAUUAUGCUUGCACCCCUGAAGAGGUUCAACAGCAUUUUUAGUCAUUUGGUACUGUUAACAGAGUCACCAUUCUCACUGACAGAAAUGGUCAGCCAAAGGGUUUUGCUUAUGUCGAAUUCUUGGAAGUUGAGGCAGUCCAAGAAGCCUUUUGGUUGCAUGAGUCUGAGCUUCAUGGUCGUCCAAUCAAGGUUGCCGCCAAACGAACCAACGUUCCAAGGCUGAAGCAGUUCCGUCCUCUGUGACAUAAUCCCUACCCGAUGUAUUCAUAUAGCAGGCCUCACAUGCCAUCCUGAUGUCGGGUUUGUGGACAAAGAAGCAGUCGCAGUUACCAGUGUGUCUCGGAAGGCAACUUUCUACAAUAGACCAAGCUCUACGGACUUCAUAAAUGUCCAUGACAUUUUUCUUGAAUGUGAUCAUGAUUCAAUCAUAUACCUUGGGAAGUCUGUUGAACCAACAAUAUAUGAUCUUUUGGGUGAUCAAGAGGUUUGUAAUCUGGACUUUUCUGAAAACUUUGUAAUAUCUUCUUUCUGCUAUGCUUCUUGGUUAUUUUGGAAUCUUUCUGCCACAAUUUUGCAAUGCAAGGUUGAAAUCUGCUUGUUGAAAAAUGGAAAACCAUCAUGGACGAAGAAGAAGUUUCUUUGCUCCAAAGUCAGGUUGUUACGUCUUAAGACUGGCUCGAGGUGACAAAAUAUGCUGAAUUGGUCUGUGCUUAGGCUCGUCAAGAAUUAAUUCAAGAUAUGUUUAAAGUCUGGCAAGAUUCUCAGCAAGGAACUCUUACUGGUGGCAUGAUAAAGUACUGUUGUUGAUUCUAAGAUAGGCCAUCCUACUGAAUUUGACUUCUACUUGUGCAGCCAUGCAAGCAUUCAAAUAACUCAUCUCACAACUAAUACCUUUUGUAUGAUGUACUUAUUCAGUGCCUUAUCAAAGGGGUAGAAAGAUUGGACUUUUUGAUGGAGCUGGUAUGGAGAAGACUAGAUUUAUUAUGGAACUAAUGAUCAAUAAUAUUGGAAAAAGUUGGCAUGAAAGAAUCAGCAAGCUGGAAAGAGGAUUCCAAUGAAAUCUUACAAGUUGAAGAUUGUGAUGGGAUUUGAGUUGACAAUAAUUAAGUGCAAUCCUACAUGACAUAAACCACCAUCACAAGUUUCUAGUCUUUUGGCUAUUGUUCAUUAGUUGCAAAUGGAGUUUAU